GGUGAACAAUCUAUAUACAAUAACACGGCAAGUCUCAUAGAUGACAUGCUGAGUAAGAGAAGCCAGACAAAAAAAGAGGACAUACUGAAAGAUUCUGUAGAUAAAGUUCAAAAACAGAUGCUCCAGAGCUAAGGACUACCCACUCCAUUCCACACCCCAUCUCCCUCCUGCAUCCUGGGAUGGAUUCAGUUCAGCGGGUAUCCAGUCAGGAUGGAGUUAAAGAAUACAAACAGAACCUCGUCUCCAAUCAGAUGAACAGGAUAUUUGGCAAUAACAAGUUGCUUCUGAGGAAAAGUGAGUUUCUUGCCAUGUUCCUUGUCAGCGUUACAAAGCUGAAAGCUAAACUUAUCUUCACUUAUACCAGCACACCCUGUUGCCUAGUCCCGUUUGUUUGCAUCUGCCAUUGUUGCUGCCGGUGCCUGGACCAGGACCCCAGCCCGCAGGUUUCCCCGGGGCUUCCUUACGGGCAUCGUCUCAAAGUGUCUGGGAAGAACUACGCAGGGCCCUUUCUGAAAACGGAAAGCUGACGUGAUCUUGCAGUUCACCAGAACUCUGUGCAGGCUUUGGAUCCACGCUGUUGUUUAUUCCCGGUAUCCCUGUAAGGAAGCCUGGGGGACGAAGUAAAAACGUUUUGUAUUCUUGUGUUUUUAUUCUCAUUUACAAGGCAUAAAUAGAUGGACUAGGUUUUGAUCUUGA